rnacentral:lncRNA from 1 species
GAACGCGAGUUGGCCGUUGGAACACGAGUUGGCCGUUGGAACACGAGUUGGCCACUAGUUCAUGGCUGUUCUUUCUACCCUUUUCAGAUAUUUUCAAUGGACAAACAGCUAAACUCUCCAGCUACACGGUUGUAAAGCCUCAGCUUAUUCACAGGAGAUGGGCAAGAAAUGCCGACAGACGUCCUGACUGGGGAAAGACUGAAGAACCCGAGGAACGUUCUUAUUCAUUGAUCAUUGACAACAAGGAACAUUUCCUACAUCUACAAAAGAACACAGAGUUUUUAUCCAAAAGCUUUGUUCAGUUUUCCCAUGAUGCCGGUGGGAAUCUGACGCCUACAUAUCCUAAACCUGAUGUAAGUGGCAGAGACUACAUUACAGAAUGACAUUGUGUGGAUUGGAAAGGGGAGACUUGGGUGGGAGGGGGACUGACGAGCUGGGUGGG